GACGGGGGGGGCAAGCGUUGUUCGGAAUUACUGGGCGUAAAGCGUGCGUAGGCGGGUGGAUAAGUCUCCUGUGAAAGCCCACGGCUCAACCGUGGAAUUGCGGGAGAUACUGUUUGUCUUGAGUCCGGGAGGGGAGGGUGGAAUUCCCAGUGUAGCGGUGAAAUGCGUAGAUAUUGGGAGGAACACCGGUGGCGAAGGCGGCUCUCUGGGCUGGUACUGACGCUGAGGCGCGAAAGCUAGGGGAGCAAACGGG
rnacentral:rRNA from 1 species